GAGUGCAUUGUUGGUGUAGUGGUAGCACGCGCCCUCGGUUAGGGUGAAACGUGGGUUUGAGUCCCGUCUGUGGUCG